UAAGAUGAAUAAAAUUUACUUACUAUAAAUUAUUCUUUCUAUAAGCAUCUUAA
rnacentral:tRNA from 1 species